AAGUGCUCGAUUUUUAAGCACUGCUGGAGUGACACAAAUCAUCGUGCUCGUCACUGACGUCAUUGAUUGCGUCAUUUCAGGAUUACGACGGAUACCGGCAUUUAAACGCUAAUUGGGUGGUCGGAUGGGUCGCUGUAUAUGGAUGCGAAGAGCUGGACGGUAAUAGUAACGAACAAAUACA